UGGGGAAUUUUGGACAAUGGGCGAAAGCCUGAUCCAGCAAUGCCGCGUGUGUGAAGAAGGCCUUCGGGUUGUAAAGCACUUUUGUCCGGAAAGAAAUCCUUGGCUCUAAUACAGUCGGGGGAUGACGGUACCGGAAGAAUAAGCACCGGCUAACUACGUGCCAGCAGCCGCGGUAAUACGUAGGGUGCAAGCGUUAAUCGGAAUUACUGGGCGUAAAGCGUGCGCAGGCGGUUUGCUAAGACCGAUGUGAAAUCCCCGGGCUCAACCUGGGAACUGCAUUGGUGACUGGCGGGCUAGAGUAUGGCAGAGGGGGGUAGAAUUCCACGUGUAGCAGUGAAAUGCGUAGAGAUGUGGAGGAAUACCGAUGGCGAAGGCAGCCCCCUGGGCCAAUACUGACGCUCAUGCACGAAAGCGUGGGGAGCAAACAGGAUUAGAUACCCUGGUAGUCCACGCCCUAAACGAUGUCAACUAGUUGUUGGGGAUUCAUUUCCUUAGUAACGUAGCUAACGCGUGAAGUUGACCGCCUGGGGAGUACGGUCGCAAGAUU
rnacentral:rRNA from 1 species